rnacentral:rRNA from 1 species
AACGAACGCUGGCGGCAGGCCUAACACAUGCAAGUCGAACGCUCCAGCAAUGGAGAGUGGCAGACGGGUGAGUAACGCGUGGGAACCUCCCUUUGGUUCGGAAUAGCUCAGGGAAACUUGAGGUAAUACCGGAUAAGCCCUUCGGGGGAAAGAUUUAUCGCCAAAGGAUGGGCCCGCGUCGGAUUAGCUAGUUGGUGGGGUAACGGCCUACCAAGGCGACGAUCCGUAGCUGGUCUGAGAGGAUGAUCAGCCACACUGGGACUGAGACACGGCCCAGACUCCUACGGGAGGCAGCAGUGGGGAAUAUUAGACAAUGGGGGCAACCCUGAUCUAGCCAUGCCGCGUGAGUGAUGAAGGCCUUAGGGUUGUAAAGCUCUUUCAGCUGGGAAGAUAAUGACGGUACCAGCAGAAGAAGCCCCGGCUAACUCCGUGCCAGCCGCCGCCGUAACAC